rnacentral:rRNA from 1 species
ACAGGAGACAUGAAGGGUGUAUGGUGGAUGCCUAGACUUAAGACAGCGAUGAAGGACGCGACUAACCAGCGAUAGCUUCGGGGAGGCGGUAUGUAGCCUUUGAUCCGGAGGUCUCCGAAUGGGGAAACCCAUCUGCGUAUGCAGAUACCUAUCGGGUAAUGCCGUUAGGUGCGCACCUCGGGAAGUGAAACAUCUCAGUACCGAGAGGAAAAUAAAACAAAAGCGAGCCGCGUUUUGUCCGCGCACUAUGUUUGUGCGGAUAAAACGCGUCUCUCGCGAUUCCCCAAGUAGCGGCGAGCGAAACGGGAUCUAGCCCAAACCGAGCACCUUCACAGGGUGUUUGACCAUGGUGAGCCUGCGAGGGCUUGUCGAUCUUCGGAAACGGAGAAGGUCGAAUGUCGCGUGAAGGUGCUCGGGGUUGUAAGGCAGGAGCUCCAUGCUUGCAUGGCGUAAGUUACAAAUCGUCCAUAUAGCGGAAACUGCUGGGAAGCAGUGCCCCAGAGGGUAAUGGCCCCGUACGCGAAAUAUGUACGACUUAUGUGCUCCUGUUCUUGAGUAGCUCGAGACACGAAUAGCUCGAGUGAAUCUGCCGGAACUAACCGGUAAGGCUAAAUAUGUCUUGAGAUCGAUAGUGAACUAGUACCGUGAGGGAAAGGUGAAAAGAACCCCGAGAGGGGAGUGAAAUAGAACUGAAACCAUACACUUACAAAGGGUGGGAGCGGGUCGAGAGCAAUCUCGGCGCCGUGACCGCGUGCCUAUUGAAGAAUGAGCCGGCGAGUGUACCUAUGUUGCAGGCUAAAUCCUUGAUCGGAUGCAGCCAGAGGGAAACCGAGCGUGAAUAGCGCGUGUGUAGCAUAGGUACGACCCGAAGCCAGAUGAGCUAGCCAUGAGCAGGGUGAAGUUUGGCGAAAGCCAAAUGGAGGCCCGAACCCGUUGAUCGUAUAACGUCUUGGGAUGACUUGUGGCUUGGAGUGAAAAGCUAAUCGAAUCUGGUAAUAGCUGGUUCUCUCCGAAACAGCUUUUGGGCUGGCGUCGCGUGUUCCCUCUGGGGGUAGAGCACUGGAAGGGACCAACAGGGAGAAAUCUCGUGGUCCCUAUCAACCUCCGAAUACCAGAGGUCAGAGCGCGGCAGUUAGAACGUGGGGGCGAAGCUCCAUGCGUCAAAAGGGGAAGAGCCCGGAUCGCCAGUUAAGGCCCCAAAGUCGACGCUCAGUAUAUCCAGAAGGAAGUGAGGAUCCUUUGACAAUGAGGAUGUUGGCUUAGAAGCAGCCACCAUUUAAAGAAAGCGUAACAGCUCACUCAUCGAGGGUCCUUGCGCCGAAGAUAAUCGGGAUUAAGCGUCGCGCCGAAACUGCGGGUGUGCAUUGUUUUCGAACGAUGUACGCGGUAGGAGAGCGUUCGCAUCGCGCUGAAGCUAAAGGGGUGACCCAUAGUGGAGCGUUGCGAAGUGAGGAUGCCGGUACAAGUAACCACAAUGCGGGUGAGAACCCCGCACGUCGAAAGACCAAGGUUUCCUGGACAAUGGUAAUCAUUCCAGGGUUAGUCGGGCCUAAGGGGAUGGCGAGAGCCGCACCCGAUGGACAUACGGUCAAUAUUCCGUAACCGUUCGCACAUGCGAUGGAGUGACGGACUGCUGUACUUAUCGCCUCCAAUUGGAUGGGGGUCGGUCGUGUGAGGAGGUCUGCUAGGCAAAUCCGGCAGGCGCUACUGCGAACACGGACGCAAUUUUCUCCCACGGGGGAAGAGAGGGUAGGGAGCGCGGUUCCUAGAAAAACUUCUAAGCUUCAGUGUGCGACGUCCGUACCGCAAACCAACACAGGUGGUCAAGCCGAGUAGGCUACGACGAACGAGUGAGAGGUCCUCAAGGAACUCGGCAAAAAAGCGGCCGUAAGUUAGCGAUAAGGCCUGCCCGUAGCAAUACGGGCCGCAGUGAAUGUUUUCCCAGCAACUGUUUACCAAAAACACAGCUCCCUGCGAACUCGUAAGAGGAUGUAUAGGGGGUGACACCUGACCAAUGCCGGAAGGUCAAUCACGGGUGGUCCCAAACUUCGGUUUGUGGCUGGACUGUGCAAGCCCCGGUGAAUGUCGGCGAUAACUAUAAUCGUCCUAAGGUAGCGCAAUUCCUUGUCGGGUAAAUUCCGACGUGCACGAAUGGUGUAAUGACUGGGAAACUGUCUCGAGGACUCGCUCGGUGAAAAUGCAAUACCGGUGAAGAUGCCGGUUACCUGUAGUUAGACGAAAAGACCCCAGGAGCUUUACUGCAGUUUGGUGUUGGGGCUGCGUGCUUCAUGCGUAGCAUAGUGGGGAGAGGUUGAAGCGGAGGUUUCGGCUUCCGUGGACUCGUCAGUGAAAUACCCAUCUUGAAGUGUGCAGUUCCUAACCGGUAGGAUGAACCCUAUCGGGACCGCGCCUGACGGGCAGUUUUGGUGGGGCGCUAUCCUCCUAAAAAGUAACGGAGGAGUCUAUUAAGGUCUUCUAGGCGCGAAUGGAAACCGUGCCGAUAGUGUAAUGGCAUAAGAAGGCUUAACUGCGAGGCGUACAUGCCGAGCAGAUGCGAAAGCAGAGCAUAGUGAACCGAUGGUACGCCUUAGAUGCGGCCAGAGAUUAACGGAUAUAAGUUACCCUGGGGAUAACAGGCUAGUUCCGCCCAAGCGUCCAUAGCGACGGCGGAGUUCGGCACCUCGAUGUCGGCUCACCUUAGCGCGGGGCUGGAGAAGGUCCCAAGCGUUUGGCUGUUCGCCAAUUAAAAAGGUACGCGAGCUGGGUUCAAACCGUGCAGCAUCUUUAGACGAGGCAACACCUCGUCUAGGAGAUUGCACGGUUUGAACCCCGAGGAAGUGUUAGCUGCGUGAGACGCAGUGUGCGAAUGACAAAAUCACGGCGGCUUCUUAUAGGAAUAUAAGGAGACAAAUCAACUGAUAUCGGUGGAACCCAUAAUGCAAUGGGCAAUACCGAGGGAAGUUUGUGAGCUGUAAUAAGGAAUCAGGUGGGAGUAUUCGCUUUGAAAGCUGCGUUAUGCGCAGGACAAAACUAAAAAGCGGAGAACAUGUCGGAGUCCAAACCUCCAACCACCAGCCCUUAGCGAUGGAAACAUCGCUCCUUAUUACAGCUCACGAAUACCCGUAGAGACUGAAUGUUGAUAUUCCAGAACGGAAUAAGUUACAGUCCGAUCCUUCCGGUAACGGAAGUAAACUAGAUGCGUGAGACAGGUUGGUCUCCUAUCUACUACAGGCGUUGAGUAUUGAGGAGGGUCGUCCCUAGUACGAGAGGACCGGGAUGAACUGACCUCUGGUCUACGAGCUGUCCUGCCAAGGGCACCGCUCGGUAGCUAUGUCGGGUUGCGAUAACCGCUGAAAGCAUAUAAGCGGGAAGCGUGCUUCAAGAUUAGUACUCGUUAUGAGACUCCUAGAAGACUACUAGGUUGAUAGGCACUAGGUGUAAGUCCCGCGAGGGAUUGAGCCGAGGUGUACUAAUAAGUCCAGUCUCUUGUGC